AACGAACGCUGGCGGCGUGCCUAACACAUGCAAGUCGCGCGAGAAAGUGGGGGCAACUCCACGAGUAAAGCGGCGCACGGGUGAGUAAUACGUAGGUAACCUACCUUCCAGACCGGGAUAACCUUCCGAAAGGAGGGCUAAUACUGGAUAAGACCACAGGGCCUCGGCUCCGGGGUUAAAGGUGGCCUCUGCUUGCAAGCUACCACUCGAAGAUGGGCCUGCGCACCAUUAGCUAGUUGGUGAGGUAACGGCUCACCAAGGCGAAGAUGGUUAGCUGAUCUGAGAGGAUGAUCAGCCACACUGGGACUGAGAAACGGCCCAGACUCCUACGGGAGGCAGCAGUGGGGAAUCUUGGACAAUGGGGGAAACCCUGAUCCAGCGACGCCGCGUGGGUGGUGAAGGCCUUCGGGUCGUAAAGCCCUGUCGGGGGAGAAGAAACUCCUGCCGGUGAAUAAUCGGCAGGAUUGACGGUACCCCCUAAGGAAGCACCGGCUAACUCCGUGCCAGCAGCCGCCGUAAGAC
rnacentral:rRNA from 1 species